AUCAAUUUGAGGACUCACUUCUGUCGUUUCUUCAAAUGCCACUGUAUUUUGUGGUAGGCUGUCCCGAACCCCAUCAUCUUUGUGCACAUUGCAGGUCCAAUAGUUCCAGAAAUCCUUGUGAACAUUACAACAUAGGUCCAAGUCUUUUGAACUUUUUAAGUCUGAAUCUUCCUAUCUACAAUAUGGGAAUAAUACUCAUUGGAGAUUAUGAAAUGAAAAGCACUUUUGGAAAAAAGACCUCUGAGAAUUCUUUUCUUCACGAAUAA
rnacentral:lncRNA from 1 species